UACGUAGGGUGCGAGCGUUGUCCGGAAUUAUUGGGCGUAAAGGGCUCGUAGGCGGUCUGUUGCGUCGGGAGUGAAAACUCAGGGCUUAACCCUGAGCCUGCUUCCGAUACGGGCAGACUAGAGGUAUGCAGGGGAGAACGGAAUUCCUGGUGUAGCGGUGAAAUGCGCAGAUAUCAGGAGGAACACCAAUGGCGAAGGCAGCUCGCUGGGACGGUACUGACGCUGAGGCGCGAAAGCGUGGGGAGCAAACAGG
rnacentral:rRNA from 1 species